UACAGAGGGUGCAAACGUUGCUCGGAAUGAUUGGGCGUAAAGCGCGUGUAGGCGGCCAGACAGGUCCGUUGUGAAAACUCGAGGCUCAACCUCGAGAUGUCGAUGGAAACCGUCUGGCUAGAGUCCGGAAGAGGAGUGUGGAAUUCCUGGUGUAGCGGUGAAAUGCGCAGAUAUCAGGAAGAACACCUAUGGCGAAGGCAGCACUCUGGGACGGUACUGACGCUGAGACGCGAAAGCGUGGGGAGCGAACAGG
rnacentral:rRNA from 1 species